GCAGGACAAGUAAUGGCAGUUAGUAUUGAACAAAGUGGACCGCUCCCAAACUUCAUGCGUGAAUGGUGCUACAGAUACCUGUGCUCUGGUGAUUCAGACAGCAUACAGGUGUCAAGUAAUGAUGUCACAGACUCAGAGCUGUUGCACCUUAUUACAGAGGUAAACAGGGCAACUGAUGAGAACAUUAAUGACCUUAUUGAUGACAUUGUAGGCUGUGGUUAUACUGGAAAAGUGUCUGUGGACAAAAAAGACCUUAUUACCAGGGCUGUUGUCCUGCACUCAACAAUGAGACUUGUACCGAUGCUUGAGCAGCUAAGAAAUGGUCUGCGGCUGUACGGCCUCCUUGAGGUGAUGGAGACGCACCCAAGCCUUUGUCUGCCUCUGUUUGUUCCAGGGGAAGAUGACAGAGUGGAUGCAGCAUUUGUCCUGGAAAGGUGCAAACCCGUAUUCAGUGAGAAGGGUUCUGUGAAAUACAGCAGAGAAAUAAACAUCAUGAACUUUUUUCAAGACUUUCUACAAGAUAUUGAGGACUGUGGUAUGUUUCAGCUGGCAGUAGUAUGUUAGUUAUUGCCUAUUAACAAUGGUAAAGUGGAGGGAUAAUGUUUUGGCUGGUGUCUGUGCAUGUCCAUUUGUAUGUACUCUUAGCAACAUAUUUUCAGAUCACUGAACAAUUUUCACUGAAGCUAGUAAACAUUGAUCAUACAUGUACAGUCAUAUUCAAUAAAUUAGAAUAUGCAAUCCAGUGAGGCUUGGAGCAGGUAUGAAACACAUUUCAUUAAGCCCACAUUUCUGGAUUUUAAAAAAAUGGCUACAACAUUGUCAGUUUCAUAGAUAUUGAGCUAGUUUUGUAUGUAAGUAGCUGAGAGUGAUCCCUAAUUUAUACUCUGAGCACUAUUUGAUCCUGUGACAUCUGUUUAAAACUUUUUAAUAACAAUUGGAGUUAAUCUGCAUGAUCCUAUUUAAAAUAUAUCAUGAACAACUAGACAUUUCUAUGACCCUUUCAGAAAUCACUGGGUGUACAUCUAUACAGCACAUGAAAAAGGUUUAAAAUAAAGCAACUAGACCUCACUUCUUGUGGUUGAAGAUGUUUCGCGCUAAGAGCAAAAUGUCUUCAACUGUCUUUAACCACAAGAACUGAAGUCCAGUUGCUUUAUUUAUAAACCAUUUUGGAAUUUGCCAUGUCUGAGAACCUUUAUUAGCAUAUCUAUACAGCUGGUAAACCUUUUAGCUAAACCCAAUUCAAUAUGUCUGCUGCAAUUAAUUGACCUUAGCCUACACAAAAAUGGUUGUAACUCAAUGUGUUUUACAGAUGCUGAGUUACAUUUACAUUGUGAUAGUAACUAGUUCAUUCACUAUCAUACUGCAAGUGCCAACAUAUCAUGGAGGAUCACAGAAAUAUUGCUAUAUAGUAUGAGAUUAUGCAUGAUUUCAAGGUUUAACCCAAACUGUUACCACUUUCUCAACAUAAGAUGAUUUUAGUCUAAAACUGACAGGAAAGGUAGCAUUUCUUUUCUAGAAAUACUAGGCGUUUGUUUUCUUUUUCCCUCACCAACAUGAAUCUUUCUUUGAAGAAAAAGAUGGCCAGUGUGAUGAAGAAAGCAAUGAUCCACAGCAGCUGACUGUUGGGAAAGUCAUGCUGUGGAUGACAGGACAGGCGCACAAACCUAUACUGCCAAGUGAGAAGAAGGAUUUCUUUAUAACUGUGAAAUUCUACCAUGACUGUGACACGCAUCAUACUAUCUGUUUUCCUAUUGUUAGUGCAUGUAGCCGCACCAUUACAUUUCCAGUUGCUCAUCUGACAACCCUGAUCGUGUUCAAAGAAAAUAUGGUAACAUCCUUAACUCAUGGGCAGUCCUUUAAUAGGGCCUGAGACAUUUGGCCUUUUCAUUGAUGCAGUUACUACUUAAAGCCAUAACUACACUUUUGGUGUUUAUAUUUUUAUUUACUGCAGGUUUUGUGUGAACAAAAUAAGUUUUUUGGUUUUGAUAGUUCCAUCAAUUUCAUGUAAAAUUCUUUUAAGUUUAACAGUUUUUGUUUUGUUUUACUAGUGGUGUUGUAUAACCUACUUGUAAGUGCUGACAAGUGGCUCAAGUUAAAAUAAAUUCAUGGUCAAGCAUUGACAUUUUUUAAAUUCUUUAAUAAAGUUUAUAAAAACA